rnacentral:rRNA from 1 species
CCUACGGUGGGCUGCAGUGGGGGAUAUUGCACAAUGUGGGGAACCCUGAUGCAGCGCCGCCGCGUGGGUGAAGAAGCGCCUCGGCGCGUAAAGCCCUGUCAGCAGGGAAGAAAAUGACGGUACCUGAAGAAGAAGCCCCGGCUAACUACGUGCCAGCAGCCGCGGUAAUACGAAGGGGGCAAGCGUUAUCCGGAUUUACUGGGUGUAAAGGUGGCGCAGACGGCGAUGAAAGCCAGGAGUGAAGGCUCGUGGCCCAACCCCGGGACUGCUCUUGGAACUGCGUGGCUGGAGUGCAGGAGGGGCAGGCGGAAUGCCUGGUGUAGCGGUGAAAUGCGUAGAUAUCAGGAGGAACACCGGUGGAGAAGGCGGCCUGCUGGACUGCAACUGACGUUGAGGCCCGAAAGCGUGGGGAGCAAACAGGAUUAGAUACCCUGGUAGUC